UUAACUAAAACCCCACAAAAACAAAAGUACAACAGAAGCAAAGGCAAAGCAAGUACCCAUGAACAUUUAUAGAAAGAGUGAUUGCCUAUCGAAGGGGAUUGUAACACAAAAUCUUCACCUAACAUAAGUCAUAAUUUAACCAGAUAUUGGACACUUACAGAACAUUACAAAAUAUGAACUCCUACAGGUACAAACGGAAAGCAAAAGACAAUAAAUUAUGAGUAAAGGUUUUCUUUAAAC
rnacentral:lncRNA from 1 species